GAUGAACGCUGGCGGCGUGCCUAAUACAUGCAAGUCGAGCGAACAGACGAGGAGCUUGCUCCUCUGACGUUAGCGGCGGACGGGUGUGUAACACGUGGAUAACCUACCUAUAAGACUGGGAUAACUUCGGGAAACCGGAGCUAAUACCGGAUAAUAUAUUGAACCGCAUGGUUCAAUAGUGAAAGUCGGUUUUGCUGUCACUUAUAGAUGGAUCCGCGCCGCAUUAGCUAGUUGGUAAGGUAACGGCUUACCAAGGCAACGAUGCGUAGCCGACCUGAGAGGGUGAUCGCCCACACUGGAGCUGAGACACGGUCCAGACUCCUACGGGAGGCAGCAGUAGGGAAUCUUACGCAAUGGGCGAAAGCAUGACGGAGCAACGCCGCGUGAGUGAUGAAGGUCUUCGGAUCGUAAAACUCUGUUAUUAGGGAAGAACAAAUGUGUAAGUAACUAUGCACGUCUUGACGGUACCUAAUCAGAAAGCCACGGCUAACUACGUG
rnacentral:rRNA from 1 species